UACGUAGGGGGCAAGCGUUUGUCCGGAUUUACUGGGCGUAAAGAGCGUGUAGGCGGCCACGCAGGUCCGUUGUGAAAACUGGAGGCUCAACCCUUUCAGACGUCGACGGAAACCGUAUGGCUAGAGUCCGGAAGAGGAGAGUGGAAUUCCUGGUGUAGCGGUGAAAUGCGCAGAUAUCAGGAAGAACACCAAUGGCGAAGGCAGCUCUCUGGGACGGUACUGAG
rnacentral:rRNA from 1 species